AUAUAUGUGUUGAAAGAGAAGAGUACUUAUUAACCUUUGAAUAAGCGAGUCUGGGGUGGUGAGAGCCAGGUCUUAAAGGAAUAAGGAAAGGCGCUCUGGAGCAUUUCUAAUAAAGUGGCUUUCAGUAUCGAAGGCAAAUAGGGUGGAACCGCGGGAAAACUCUCGUCCCUAUG
rnacentral:ncRNA from 1 species